CAGGCGUGCACACGUGUGGGGAUGAUCGGCGGUGGCGGCGACGGUGGCGGAGGCAGUGGCGGCUAAAUAGAGGAGGAUUGUCGUGAACAAGGCCUGUGCCUCACGCUCCUAACAGCUGCCGGCUACCGAGGCGAAAUGAAAAAGGGGGACAGGAGUGGGAAAAAGUUUAAUGUGCUGGCUCCCAUCACACAAAUGCACUGUGUUCCCCAUAACUCUGCCAAGGCCGUCUCUGCCCACACCAGGAAAUGAGAGAGUGAGAGAAAAAUGGCGUGCUGAGACGCAAGAUGGCGGGAAGUAAAAUCGCCCGCGGUAAUGUGAUGGCCGCAUUGUGACUGGAAUAGUGAGCAUUACCAACCUAACACCAGGACAAUGCCAAUCAAGAUGGCGAGAGAAAAAAAGCAGAGGAGCUUCCAAUUAUGUCCAGCAUGUCUGAGCGCUCUCUCCCGCCUGCUUCCGGAGGGGUCCCGUGGUGCGGGCCGAGCUUGUCUGACAGGAGAGCAGCACGCUGUGGAUUAAGACACUCGACACACUCCCGUGUCUUCUGUCUCUCGGCCCCGGCGGCCCGGGCGACGUGACUAGCGUAACAGCCCCGGAUCUCUCAAUCCAACUAUCAGACAUAAUUGUCAGCGAGUGUGGAGGGGGAUCACAGAGGCGCUGAGAGGAGUGGGAAAGCAACAGUGGCCUUCAAAGUAGCUAAUGAAGGGCG
ensembl:lncRNA